CCAAUAGCGUAUAUUAAAGUUGUUGCAGUUAAAAAGCUCGUAGUUGAAUUUCGGGACCAAUCUGCCGGUCGUGCCUCCGGUACGCACUGGUUUUAUUGGUUUCUCCCUUCUGACGAACCAUGAUGUCAUUAAUUUGGUGUCAUGGGGAAUCAGGACUGUUACUUUGAAAAAAUUAGAGUGUUUAUAGCAGGCUUACGCUUGAAUACAUUAGCAUGGAAUAAUGAAAUAGGACGUUUGACCCUAUUUUGUUGGUUUCUAGGAUCGACGUAAUGAUUAAUAGGGAUAGUUGGGGGCAUUAGUAUUCAAUUGUCAGAGGUGAAAUUCUUGGAUUUAUUGAAGACUAACUACUGCGAAAGCAUUUGCCAAGGAUGUUUUCAUUAAUCAAGAACGAAAGUUAGAGGUUCGAAGGCGAUCAGAUACCGCCCUAGUUCUAACCAUAAACGAUGCCAACCAGCGAUUAGCCUGAGUUCCUUAAAUGACUCGGCUAGCAGCUUCCG
rnacentral:misc_RNA from 1 species